rnacentral:rRNA from 1 species
UACAGAGGGCGCGAGCGUUGUCCGGAAUCACUGGGCGUAAAGGGCGUGUAGGUGGUUUCGUAAGUCUGGCGUGAAAUAUCUCGGCUUAACCGAGGCAGGUCGUCGGAUACUGCGGGACUAGAGGACGGUAGAGGCGUGUGGAAUUCCGGGUGUAGUGGUGAAAUGCGUAGAGAUCCGGAGGAACACCAGUGGCGAAGGCGACACGCUGGGCCGUACCUGACACUGAUGCGCGACAGCAUGGGGAGCAAACAGG